GAUGAAGAACGCAGCGAAAUGCGAUAACUAAUGUGAAUUGCAGAAUUCCGUGAAUCAUCGAGUCUUUGAACGCACAUUGCGCCCCCUGGUAUUCCGGGGGGCAUGCCUGUCCGAGCGUCAUUACAACCCUCAAGCCCGGCUUGUGUAAUGGGCGGCCGUCUCUCCCCCCGGGGGGAGACGCCCCCGAAACUCAGUGGGGAUGUCGCGAUACCGAAGCCUCAGCUAAUGGGUAAACCACAGCUGCAAUGGCCGCGGCCGGCGUCCGCCUUCCACGGUCCGUCCGCCUAGCGCGGGCGGCCUUCUCAAGGUUGACCUCGGAUCAGGUAGGGAUACCCGCUGAAUUUAAGCAUAUCAAUAAGCGGAGGA
rnacentral:misc_RNA from 1 species